rnacentral:rRNA from 1 species
CUUGAAGAUCGGAGUGCUUGCACUCUGUGAAACAAGAUACAGGCUAGCGGCGGACGGGUGAGUAACACGUGGGUAACCUGCCCAAGAGAUCGGGAUAACACCUGGAAACAGAUGCUAAUACCGGAUAACAACAGAUGAUGCCUAUCAACUGUUUAAAAGAUGGUUCUGCUAUCACUCUUGGAUGGACCUGCGGUGCAUUAGCUAGUUGGUAGGGUAACGGCCUACCAAGGCGAUGAUGCAUAGCCGAGUUGAGAGACUGAUCGGCCACAUUGGGACUGAGACACGGCCCAAACUCCUACGGGAGGCAGCAGUAGGGAAUCUUCCACAAUGGACGCAAGUCUGAUGGAGCAACGCCGCGUGAGUGAAGAAGGGUUUCGGCUCGUAAAGCUCUGUUGUUGGUGAAGAAGGACAGGGGUAGUAACUGACCUUUGUUUGACGGUAAUCAAUUAGAAAGUCACGGCUAACUACGUGCCAGCAGCCGCGGUAAUACGUAGGUGGCAAGCGUUGUCCGGAUUUAUUGGGCGUAAAGCGAGUGCAGGCGGCUCGAUAAGUCUGAUGUGAAAGCCUUCGGCUCAACCAGAGAAUUGCAUCAGAAACUGUCGAGCUUGAGUACAGAAGAGGAGAGUGGAACUCCAUGUGUAGCGGUGAAAUGCGUAGAUAUAUGGAAGAACACCGGUGGCGAAGGCGGCUCUCUGGUCUGUUACUGACGCUGAGGCUCGAAAGCAUGGGUAGCGAACAGGAUUAGAUACCCUGGUAGUCCAUGCCGUAAACGAUGAGUGCUAAGUGUUGGGAGGUUUC